rnacentral:lncRNA from 1 species
GCCCACCCUCCCGCCAUCCCUCCCGGGCGGGGUCGCGCGCUGCGCGUCCAUAUACAUAAGGGUGCACAUAUGUACCUACGCACAUGCGUACGCGGGGUGGGGUGCGCGCGCGCGCGGAGAGGUGCGGGUGCGCGCGCCGGGCGCCCCUGUGUAUUGAAAGGUGGAUAUUUGUUCGGAGGGAGUUUAAAAGCAGCGCGAGUAACACUUGCGUUUGGGCAGUGUGGUCUGAGAGCAGGGUGCAUGGCAGUGCUCGCAUGGACGUCGCUAUUCAUCUAAAAAUAGUCGCUGAGAGUGAACGCUGACUUCUGCAUCUGGAGGCUCCCUCCCACGCAGCAGCGAAAAGCUGCCAACUUCGAUGUAUUAAAAUUUCAGAUCCAGGACAAAGUUUAUUGUGCCAUGAGCUUUCCUGUCACCUCAGAAAUAAUAAUACUGAGAAAACUGGGUCUGGAAGAUGCACUCUCUCGCUGCUUUUCCCUUGCUCUGUUGCAGAGCCCACAUGUCCAGUCCUUACCUCCUGCUUCAUUGUGAGAAUGCUAUGGGGAAGCAUGUCACAGGCUAAAGUUUGAGUAAGCAACAUCUGCUCUCUGCUUGCCUACAGAGCUCGGCUUUUCAUCACAGAGGUGCUCAGGCUGGUCAGGCAUGAUUUGCUUUUGGUAAAUCUAUGCUGGCUCUUCCCAGUCACGUUCCUGCUUUGACUGAGCCUGGAAAUAAUCUCCCAGAGUUUCAGGUGAAGCUGCUCCCCCCUAAGUUCCUCAGAUCCUCCCUGCCUUCGACCCUCAGGGACCUCCCAUGAGCACUGUGAUCAUUCAGAGAUGACAGAAGGUGGCCUCACAAUGACAUUGACCACAUCUCAGUGUGCUUGGUUGCUCCCCAUUUGAUCCCAUGAGCUUACAUGUGUCCAGUUUAUUUAAGUAGUUCCUAACUUCACUGAAUUUCACUGAAUUUCACUGAAUUUCUAGAGUUGGAAGGGACCAUAGAGAUCAUCUAGUCCAACUCCCCUGCUGAAGCAGGAUUGCCUAGAGCUAGAGCAUGUUACUCAGGACUACAUCCAGGCGGGUUUUGAAAAUCUCCAAAGAAGGGGACUCCACAACCUCCCUGGGCAGCCUGUUCCAGGGUUCCGUCACCCUCAC